UACGGAGGGUGCAAGCGUUGUCCGGAUUUAUUGGGUUUAAAGGGUGCGUAGGCGGUUAAUUAAGUCAGUGGUGAAAUCCUGGAGCUCAACUUCAGAACUGCCAUUGAUACUGGUUGACUUGAGUACAGACGAGGUUGGCGGAAUUGAUGGUGUAGCGGUGAAAUGCAUAGAUACCAUCAAGAACACCGAUUGCGAAGGCAGCUAACUAGGCUGUAACUGACGCUGAGACGCGAAAGCGUGGGGAGCGAACCGG
rnacentral:rRNA from 1 species